AACAGAACCCUGUCUGUAUUAUACUUGUGUAUGUGCACGCGUGUCCACGCAAGCGAGUGAAGGAGAGAAGGACGAGAAAAUGGACUUCUUUUGGAGUGAGUUGACAGGCAGUAGGUAUUGCAAAUUGGUGGAGGGGUGGUGGUGCGCCGGGCACCCAUGGUAGCAAGAAAUAUGGACCCAUAUGGGGUUUGUGUAUGAACAAUUG
rnacentral:misc_RNA from 1 species